AAUAUUGGGCAAUGGGCGAAAGCCUGACCCAGCAACGCCGCGUGAGGGAAGAAGGUCUNCGGAUUNUNAACCUCUGUCCUUGGGGNCGAAGAAAGUGACGGUACCCAAGGAGGAAGCUCCGGCUAACUACGUGCCAGCAGCCGCGGUAAUACGUAGGGAGCAAGCGUUGUCCGGAAUUACUGGGCGUAAAGGGUGCGUAGGCGGCAUUGCAAGUCAGAUGUGAAAUCCCCGGGCUUAACCCGGGUGCUGCAUUUGAAACUGCAGUGCUUGAGUGCAGGAGAGGAAAGCGGAAUUCCUAGUGUAGCGGUGAAAUGCGUAGAUAUUAGGAGGAACACCAGUGGCGAAGGCGGCUUUCUGGACUGUAACUGACGCUGAGGCACGAAAGCGUGGGGAGCAAACAGG
rnacentral:rRNA from 1 species